GACGAACGCUGGCGGCGUGCUUAACACAUGCAAGUCGAACGGAAAGGCCCUGCUUUUGUGGGGUGCUCGAGUGGCGAACGGGGGAGUAACACGUGAGUAACCUGUCCUUGACCUUGGGAUAACCUCAUGAAACUGGGGCUAAUACCGGAUAGGAGCUCCUGCUGCAUGGUGGGGGCGGGUAAGUUUCGGCGGUUGGGGAUGGACUCGCGGCUUAUCAGCUUGUUGGUGUGGUAGUGGCUUACCAAGGCUUUGACGGGUAGCCGGCCUGAGAGGGUGACAGGCCACAUUGGGACUGAGCUACGGCCCAGCCUCCUCCGGGACGCAGCAGUGGAGAAUAUUGCACAAUGGGCGGGGGCCUGGUGCAGCCCCGCCGCGUGCGGGAUGACGGCCUUCGGGUUGUAAACCGAUUUCGCCUGUGACGAAGCGUGAGUGACGGUAAUGGGUAAAGAAGCACCGGCUAACUACGUG
rnacentral:rRNA from 1 species